rnacentral:rRNA from 1 species
ACUCCUACGGGAGGCAGCAGUAAGGAAUAUUGGACAAUGGUGGAAACACUGAUCCAGCCAUGCCGCGUGAAGGAUGACGGCCCUAUGGGUUGUAAACUUCUUUUGUACGGGAAAAAACCUCUUUACGUGUAAAGAGCUGAUUGUACUGUAAGAAUAAGGAUCGGCUAACUCCGUGCCAGCAGCCGCGGUAAU